rnacentral:pre_miRNA from 1 species
UCAUGAUGUUGAUGUUGAUGAUGAUGAUGAUGAUGAUGGUGGUAAUAAUGAUCCUCAUCGUCAUCGUCAUCAUCAUCGUCAUCGUCAUGG